rnacentral:rRNA from 1 species
AAAUGACUCUCGGCAAUGGAUAUCUCGGCUCUUGCAUCGAUGAAGAACGUAGUGAAAUGCGAUACUUGGUGUGAAUUGCAGAAUCUCGCGAACCAUUGAGUCUUUGAACGCAAGUUGUGCCCGAGGUCUUGCGGCCGAGGGCACGUCUGCUUGGGCGCCAUGAC